CGGGAUGUAGCUCAGUUGGUAGAGUGCACGUCUGGGGGGCGUGAAGCCGCAGGUUCAAGUCCUGUCAUCCCGA
rnacentral:tRNA from 1 species